GGAGGUUUUUCUUAUGAGGGACUUGAGCUGCUCCGUCUGCUUUCUGGAUCCCUUCAUCUUGUCUGGACGCUGGCAUCGAGAUGUUGUGAAAUUCCAAGGGGACGUAUGUCUUGGCCCGUCAGAGGCGGCUGGCUGCCAGGACUCCUCUCAGCUCGCUCCCCGAAGACCCCUGGCUCCACAGAAACAGGAAAUGCAGAACUGUGGGAUCUGCCCCAUCAACCGAGAGCCUGAGUUACACGGGGGAACUCGAGGCGAGUGCUGGGGCCUGAUUGUGUGGAAAACCAUCUGGGAGCCUGAGUUUAUACUGAACAAAGAAAUCUGCACACAGAAGUCAUAAAACAUAGUGUGUACUUUCACACAUUUUCUUACAGGAACCUUGAGUUUUGUGAGGCAUA
rnacentral:lncRNA from 1 species